rnacentral:lncRNA from 1 species
CCUGACCUCAACCCGAUUGAGAUGCUGUGGCAUGACCUCAAGAAAGCGAUUCACACCAGACAUCCUAAGAAUAUUGCUGAACUGAAACAGUUCUGUAAAGAGGAAUGGUCAAGAAUUACUCCUGACCGUUGUGCACGUCUGAUCUGCAACUACAGGAAACGUUUGGUUGAAGUUAUUGCUGCCAAAGGUUCAACCAGUUAUUAAAUCCAAGGUUUCACAUAUUUUUUCCACCUGCACUGUGAAU